rnacentral:lncRNA from 1 species
UCCGGUCGACAAGGCCCCGCCGUUCUCCAGUCAGAAAAAGACAAGGCCCGGCCAUCCCCAAAAUGUCCUCCCCCACUUAUCAAAUACCGUCUCCUGUAUUCCAUUUAUUCCCCUCCAUAACCCUAAUUAGAGGGAGAGGAGAUCAUUAAACGGGGAGCCUUCCAGAUAAAAGGGUGGGAGAUGGAGAGGUAGAGCGAUCGAUAGUUGCUUCUGGGCUUCUGCCUUGUUCUGCGACGUUGUCUCCUCCGCUCUACCCCACUCUACGUGAUAGCCAGGAGCCGGGAAAGAGAGAGAGAGAGGAGGGAGUGGGGAGCUCAGAUCUGACGACCUCUCUCUGGACUGAGCUUGAGUGGGGGAGAGGCAAGCUUUGAAAGGUUUGAGAUUUAUUGAUGGUAGAGAUUUUGGAAGAAAUGAAAAAGAUUGGUGGUAUAUCUUCUCUGACUUUGGCUGGUUUGCUUUCUUGGGCUGACAGAAGAGAGUGAGCACACGCCGGCGAUGGCAGCAUGAUAGGGAUGCUGUUCCCGUUGCGUGCUCACUUCUCUUUCUGUCAGCUUCCCAUGCCGCCUUCGCUCUUCUAGCCUUCUCUUUCUUUCUAUUUAUUUGUUAAAAAAAAAAAAAAAAAACGAUUGCAGUUGUUAUCGACGAUUUUUUUUUUUGUGUUCUAAAAAUCGAUGAGAUUGUUGAAGAGACGGCCACGCGCAGUGGCAGGGCCUUAUCUCCUCCAUAUCUCGGGUCUAUCAUCGCCUUUAUUGUUUGCUGCUUUUAUUUGACUUUUUCUCCUUCUCUCGCUCCGGCUGGCAUCCGGGACUUGCCUUCUGGCCGGAAGAGGGAGGGUUUUCCGAGGAGGAAGAUGAUGUAAGUCUGUACAAUAUCCCCCACAAUGGAUUUUACUUCAGUUGUAUUUAUUUUUGAUAGUUAGAUUUUUAUUUUUACGGCAGAAAAAUCUGGAAAAUAAGGGAAGGAAAUUGAGGCGGUGGAGCACGGAAGCGUGGCUUUUGAGAACGAGCCUGCACCUUUCUCUUUCCUCGUUGGGAGAGAGGCCCGGAUCGAGGCGUGUGGGCUGGGAGGCGAGAGUGAACCUUUGCCCGAUGCGGAUUUAACGGAAGUCACUGUUGACUAGUCCUCCUUCCCAACCCCACCGGCCCCCCCCCCUCCCUCCUCCCCCACCCCUAGCUUUCUUCUUGUUCCUUCUUUUUUUUUUUUUCUUUUUCUUUUUUUUUAGGCGAGAUUUCUUCUCCUACCUUCACCUUCUUGUUCUCUGGCCAGGACACGAGCCAUGGUAAAGAUUUCAGCAAGCUAGGAACCUUUUGCCGUUCUCUUCUCGAACGAUUUUAUAACUCGUAAUCUCUAGUAUUUUUUCUACUUUUCUUCUUGGUUCUUUUUUUUUCUAGGUUUUUUUGUUUUCCAAAUCUGGCCACUACUUUUGCACUCAAUGGGGAAGAGCCGCGUCUUGCUUUGUUGCAGGCUUGCGGGGGCCAAGAUGGUGGGAAGUGGGGGCAGGAGAAGGACGAGUUUACAGUUACUAAUAAAAGAAAGUAAGUGAUCUUUCUUCGGUUUCUUCCCAGAUCUGGGAUUCGUCGGCUGUUUUCCCUCUCAUUUGAACCUUUGUUUUUUUCCCGAUUUGGCGCAGGUAUUAUUGCUUCGGUACCUUAUUCCAUGGAGCUGUCUGCUUUCUUUCUACUGGAAAUCAAAUGGUUGCACUUGCGUUUUCAUCAUUUUAUGCGCCAUUCUUUCUUCCCACAUUUCCUCUCUCUCUUUCGCUUCCGGUGCUAAAAAAGGAAAAAAAAAAGAUAUGAAAACAACUGUUACCGAAGAGCUUUUUUUAUGCCCGUUGUUGUUUGUUUCAUGCCCCACAAAGUUUCUGCAAGCUGGCUCCAUUUAGUGCCCACUCUUUUGUUGUCCGCUCUUUCUUUGUUUCUUUUUUUUGGUUUGUUUUUGAUUUACAGAUGAAGGGAAUGAUUCAGUGGAAGACGUGGAAGGGAGGGGACCCUUUUGAAGGAUGGUGGAUGGUCCACUGAUGGGGCCUCUGGGAUCCGUGGAGGUAGGGGACCUUCUUCCCUCCUUUAACUUUCCAUCCUGGUAGCUUAAUUUCCUUCUGUUUCUCUCCCAAAAAAAUGGUAUUGAAAAUUGUUUUAUCAUCUGCAUCCACUCUCUUCUUACGAGGUUUUAAAAAAUAUGAUGAUUUGAAGAAUUUUCUUGCAUAUGUGCGUGGGGAUUGUGGUUAGAAGAGCAUAAUGAUGCUGUUGUUGUAGAAGUUAUAAAGGCAAGCUAGUGGUUAGAUCGAUGUAACAGGAGCUAAGUAUCUCAUGGAAGUUUGCACAGGGAGAGCCGUGGGGACCAUACUAAUAAAUCUAGUGGGUGCGCGCCAUUAGUCUCCAUCUUUCUCAAAAGCAAAAAAAGUGAUUGAAAAUGAGAUCUCUUCCUAUUGAUGCGGAGAAGUGUUACAUCUUUGAUGCUAAAAAUGUGGCAGUAGUAUGUCUGAAUUUUGUUGGCAGACAUGAUUCAUUCAGCUUGUUCAGCUUUGGUGUAAAGUUGAUUUUGGAGUCUUUUAGCAGAAGUGAGAGAAAAUAAACCACAAAAAAGUAAUCUUUAACUUGUGCACUUAAGUUACACAUCAGAAAACAAAUCGAAAAAUAAGUAAUGCAUAACUAAUGCACUUAAGUAAUACUUUUUUUCGGUACAGCACUUAAGUAAUACUUGACUAUAAAGUAUUUGACAAUGGAGUUGGUGAUAUAUGGCAUAUGCUUUGAACUUCAUGAUUCUUUGGAAGAUAGCGAGCUUUUUAUUAUGUCAACAGUGAUCCAGAUUUACAUGGAAGGUUCUAAGCAUUUAUACAUAGAACCCCAAUUUGCUAAUGAGAAGAUCAAUAUCUAAAUAAGUUCUAUUUUUAAACAGAUGAAAUAUUGACUGGUGCUGUAGGAAAGGUUUGGAGGAAAUUGGGUUCAGUUGGAUUGCAUAUUUAUGAUGUACAUUUCAUAAAUAAUGUGUUUAGUUGGUUUUAAGUGGGUUUUUCUGAUGGUGAUGCUGCCUUGCACCUUGGUUUUUAAUGUUUGAUCCAAGAAUAUUGGGAUUCCAUUGUGGGAAAAGGUAGCAAAUUAGAGGCUUGUUUGUUGCUGCUAUAAUUAAUCAAUUUACCUUGCAUGCGGGAGCAAUGUAUAUGAUACUGUAGACAUAUUUGGGGAAUGAUUAGCUUACAAUGUAGGAGAUCUCUUGCAAACAAUUUUUCUAGUCUUUACAGGCAGCUUAAAAUGUAGGGGUUAUUUAGUUUCUUAGUUAUGCUUUUGGAUCCAUUGAUGGAUUCUCUCCUGAUAUUCAUUGUUCCUUUGCUAUGUUGAAUGACAAGUUGAUGCACAACUGGUGGUCUUCGAAGUGUGCAGUGGUUCGAAAGCCCUAGGUUUCUGACUCCAAAUUUUUCGCAUCCUAGAUUUCAAUAAUAAGCUAUUUUGGAUCUACUAUUUAUGCUUCAGUGAGAUCUCGAUCUCUCUUAUGUGAAAUAGGAAGGAGUUCCAUUCACAACAGGAUGGGUGAUUGAGAUGAAGAGAUUUGGUGAUAUUGUGGGGAAGAUAUAUAUUCGAUAAAUGCCCAAUGAAAACAAAUAUAUUAUUAAUGCAUCAUCCCUUUCUUUUCUGGCAAAGAGCCAUAGGAUUCACAUUAGGAGAACAGACGGAAUCAACAUUCUCCGUUUGUGAAAGCGUGGGUUGACGGUAGUUGACAUGGAGUCCAACCCCUCCGGACCCCCUCUCCCCCCCCACCCACCCUACACACAGACAACCAGAGAAAAAAAAAAAAGGAAAGAUAGGCAACUCUUCUUCAAGUCUUUGUUCUCUUUGCUUAUUUUUAUAUUUUUUUGCCAAAAUUUGAUUAUCUCUUAAUCAGUGCUGAGUGUUCUAUAAUGAUUCACACUACAUAUGGUAAAUAUAGAUUUUUUUUUAUUGUUUCUUCUUCCGGAUCUCUUCUCCAGCUCAACAUAUGUUAUAAAAGCUGGUUCCCAUCUUUUCUAUUAUAACAUUCUAUGCAAUAUAUCCUGUGUCUCAUCUUACCUUGCUUGCAGUAUCUAAAAGAUUUAGCUCCUUUGCACCUAAACAUAUUAACCAUCAACCAUUUAUCUGAUCUUGUUCUCCUUGCGGAACAUUCUAUAUUUCGCUUGUGUGCAAGAGAAAUUGGUUUCCCAUGUAUAUCAUGUAAAAAUGACAAGGAAUUUGGAGAAUUGAAGAUCCUUUAAUUUUGCCACCUUGACAUUUAAAAUUAUGGUUUUGGGAUUGAUGUGUCACCAUUGAUUGAACCUUUUUUUAGCCUAUUUCUGUCUUGGAAACCUUAUAAGCUUAACAUGCUUUGCUUGCUGUACCAAGGAAAAUUUUGAAAAAUUGAUAUAUUUGUGUGUGCGUGUGUGAGGAUGGAAAGAUGGGAAUAAGGGACAAGAAGGAUGCAAAUAGAAACAAGGUCUUCAGCCAUAAACCAGGUUACACUCUUCUCUUGUUUUUAUUCACCUAGUGUCAAAUAACAAAUGACCCCAUUCCUAUAUGGUAAGCCAAUUAUGUUUGACAAGCCGCAGUCUGAUGUCAAAGCCUCCAAUCUUGUACCGUUAAUCUGAUAGUCGGGAUGCUUUCCAAAACCUUUGCAGACUUAAAUAGUUAAUUUUGUGUAACAAAUGAAGCUACGACCUCUUUAUUUUCAGUUUGUGAGGCAUUUUAUUUCACAAUCCUUUUUCUCCAUUGAGAUAUUGGGUUUUUGCAAACCUGAUGCUACUUUGUUAUUGCAAUGUAGAAAAUUUCUUUGGCCACAUUCAGCACUAAAGAAUUGAAUUUGACUACAGUAGCAUGCAUAAUGUGUGAUCUUUUUUUAACCUUAUCUGUGCUUGGUCAAGGGUUUUAACCUUGCAUGUGACUACAGUACGAGCUCACAUGUCACCACAGUACUACCAACAAAAUGCACAGUGUCCCAUGGUCAAUAUUUACUGGGAAGCGUUAGACGAUCCCUGAAUUUGAAGAUGUCCGUGUCUUAGGAUGUUACAUCUUGUUAGGGGAGCUCUUCAAUUACUAAUUACUAUGUUUCACUAUGUCAAGAAAUUUUGCUUAUAUGGACUCAUCAAACCCAUUGUAAAUGAAAUGUUAGCUCUUGAAGUGAAUUAACCACAGCAGCAUGCAUUGUUUGUAACUGUUUGAUCUUUUCUUCUGUUCUUGAUUUAGGGAGAACUUUAUUUUUUGCAUAUCACCACCGUAUUUCCACAUAUGUACGGUGUUCCAUGGUCUAUCUCCCACUUGAAUGUUGAUCUAGCCCAGUGAGCAUUAAAAUACCUUGCAAGUUGAAGAUGUCCACGUCCACACUUUGGUUAUAUAUUGUCCAAGAGAUCUCUUCGAUUAUUUGAAAAGCAUAUAAAAUUGUGUCAAGAGAUGUCUUCCUCAACUAAUGAUAAGACAAGGGAAGGUAGUUCAUCUCUGCCUUGGCUUGAACCAAAAGUUUUAAUGAUUGAAGAUGAUUGGGCUGAUAGCACAAAUGACCAAGCAUGGAACCAGGCAAUCAGGGAACACAAUUUGGUUUAGCCUAAAGGUUCACAACCGAUACUACACAAUCAGCCUACAAAUCGAUCAUCAAGUAUAUCUGUUGGAGAUCCUGUCAUCAAAAGACCAAGCCUUAGCUCGAAAAAUAGGACUUCAACCCUCUGUUUGACAGAAUACAUAAAUGCCUUGAUGGGUGGAAGUGGCAACAUCUUUCCCAAGCUGGAAGAUUGGUCUUGCUUCAUUCGCUCUUGGCAUCUACCUGCAUCUGCUUUCUGUCAAACACUGUAGUCCCAAUAAUACUGCUAAAUGUAUCUCGAGAGAGUGUAAAUAUCCUUACAGGCACACGAAAUGGGAACUAGGAAAAUCCAUCUAUUGUCAUGGGGAAAAGAUCUGUAGAGGUAAAAGCAAAGGGGGGUGUUGCAGCAGCCAAUUAAACUCCGCAGGGAAGCAUUCAUGGCCAAAGUAGUUGGCUCCCUAAUCUUGAACAAAGAUACAAUCUGGUGCAAAUAAUUAGAAUCCUAGCACAACUUCAUUGGUUGAGAUGCCUGGAACAAGGGAAUCACCAGUCUGGAGAGCUAUUUGCUCGUGUUAAAUAUUUAAAAUAGCAUGUCUGUUAUCAAAUAGGAAAUGACAAAAGAAUCAACGUCCUAAAUGAUUCAUGGUUAUCUUACAUUCCCAUUGAUCAGAAGCUGAUACCCAUAAAUGCUCAGCUAUGUUGGGAGAAUUGGAUGGAUUCCUAGCUACUGAACAUUGAUGGAUCAUGGAAUCAGGAAAUGAUGAAUCCACUAUUUCCUAAUGAGAUUAUCUUUUAGGUGAUGUCCAUCCCUCAAUGAAAGUUUCAAUGUGAAGACAAACUUGUUUGGUCUGCAAUUGGAUCAGUUCAACUAAAAGUUGGAGAUGUUACACAAUCGUUCAAAUUGACGUGGAAGAUGGUUGUUGUCACUAAAGUUAAAAUAUUUUGUUUGAAAGUAAAUAAGGGUAGACUAUCUCGAAAGAGGUCCUAAAAGAUAGAAAUUUACUUAUGAGGAUCCGUGUGGGUGUGUAUUUAGUCCCACAUCGAUUAUUUGCUAAGAAGAUCUUAAUUACUUAUAUAAGGCUAAGAAAUCCAAAUAAUACCUUUAGAUUAGUUUUUUUAGGUGAGAUUCUGGGUUGUUAUAAAUGGUAUCAGAGCUGAUCCAACCCAUAACUUAUGUGAACUAAGGGAUACUGCAGCAUGGAUUCAUUGAGGCUAACCACGAUCGAUCAUAGUACUUAUGAAUGGAUGAAUGGAUUUGGAUCUUUAACCUGACGAAGAUGUUCCGACUUAAACAUAGAAGUAUGUGAGGACCUAUGCGUGCAUGUAUUUCGUCCCAUAUCGAUUAUUCGUUGAAAAAAUCUUGGAUACUUAUACAGGAUCAAAAAAUUCAAAUAAUAUCUUCUAACUACUUUUUUGUGGACGAUAUCCUGGAUUGUCACAAAUAGUAUCAAAAUCAAUCCGGCUCAUAGCCUAUGUGAACUAGGGGAUAUUGUAGCAUGGAUUCAUAGGGGUUGAUUUCAGGCGAUUGUGGUGUUUAUAAAUGGAAGUAUGAAUUUAGAUUCUUAACCUGACAAGAAUGUUAGGACUUAAACAAGAGGAGUUUGUAAAGAUUUGUGUGGGCGUGUAUUUAAUUCCACAUUGAUUAUUCACUGGAAGGAUCUUGAAUACUUAUAUAAGAUCGAGAAACUCAAAUAAUAUCUUUUGGCUAGCAUUUUUGGAUAGUAUCCUGGGUUAUUACACUACUCUAUCAGAUUAGUGCAAGUUGUGACCUAUGUGAAAAUAUUAAAGAAGAUCUCAACUGUUGCUUGAUAUGCUGUCUUUUUCCAAACUAAGUUUGGAAUUGAGAAGCUAUAAUCUCUCAGUUCCUGAGUUCAAUUCGAUGUAUAAUUUCAUUAACAUAUAUGCUUGUCCCAUGUUAUUAUAGUGUGACAGAACUAUCAUUAUUUACACUAGAAGGACUUUAUACAAUGCUAGGAAUGAUGGAUUUUUUCCAAGAACCAAAGUAGGCCUCCUCAAAUCUCUCAUCUCGCACAAUAGCUAGCAAUAGAGUUUGAUGAAAUAGCGUUGAAGGAAGUUGGAACCAAUGAUAUGCAAUAGUGGGUCACAAACAGCCCAGUGAGCUUGUCAUCUUAAAGUCAUAGGAUGGUUUUUUGGGUGCCUCCUCCCUAUGAUUUGCCGAAAGUCAACUUUGAUGCUUCAUGGAAGGAAGGUGAGGUAGGGACGUGAUUCAUUUUGAGGUAUCAUGCUCGUUAUGUUUUAACAACUGUGAGAUUUUAAGCUAAUUCAAUUCUUAAAGCAGUGGUCAGGGUAGCUUGGCAAGGGAUUUUAAUAGCUAUCAACACCAUAAAUUUUUUGGAAUAUGGCUUGAAGGAGACUUAACAAUGGUGAUUCAGUAGAUCAAGAAGCAUUGCAAAGCCUCCUUGAGCAUAAAAGCAAGACUUCACUUCCUCCUUUCUCACAAUCUACAAUGCACCACAUGUUUGGAGUUUUCUCUACUUCCCAUGUAUUCAAGGAAACUAACCAACCUAUUAAUUUGUUGGUAUGUCUGUGUCAAUAUUGACUUUUAUUCUAUGGCUUCUCUACCUCAACAACUUUGAACCCUUAUGCUAGUUGAUGCAACAAAAGUUUGCUUUAUUGGAUCACAAUUAAGCAUUUGUUUGUUUUUAUUGGGGUCCUUAUGACACCCUGAUAUACCUUUUCAAAAAAAGCCAAUUGCAAAUGUAGGCUGCCUUUGUUAUUAUUCUACUUCUUUAAAAAUUGGAAAUAUGAAAUCUAUUUCCAUUUUAUUAUUAUAUUUCUCACAAUAAACUAUGAUUAGCAUGCUCCUUCUUUCUCUCUCUCGAUAAUAGAACUGUAGAGCCCAAGAUAGUGAAAGGCCAUAGUGGAAGAUGGAAGCAUGGAAUCAUGCAAGCAUCAAGAGGGUGAAGAUUGGGGGAGGGGGGCAAUUGGGGAUAAUGCGAUAGGAGCUACUCAAAUAGGAGUGCGCUCAACUGGAUUGAUGGAUGUCGAGAAUAGAUGGCACCACUCUUGAGGGAACGAAUGAAUGAACGGGCGUCAAGAAUGAACAAACAAAUGUCGGGAACAAAAAAAGAUGGAUGACAACAGAAGAUAGGUGCCAAGGAUGAACAAAUGGAUGCCAAAAACAAAUAGAUAGAUGCUGACAAAAAAUAGACACCAAGAAUGAACUAAUGGAUGGACGAACAUCAGACCAUAGGCUUGAUGGUAGCUACUUAGUUAUUUUAUAUCACUGCUCCACCGCCAUUGUCUGAUCGCAACCCUUUCUAGUGUCUCACUCAUAGCAUGGGCUUCUCCCCCUUCGGCCCCACAUCUCAAGCUUUGGCAAUCUCUGUUGGUGCUUAAUCUCUCUUGCUUGCUCUUCCAACAUAUGUAGGCCUUCGAGUAUUAGUUGAGGAGGAAGAGGUGGCAUGAUUAAGGAGGACAGUAGAUGGAGGAAGGUACUUGAGAGGCAGGCAGUAGGAGAGAUGAGCAGCAUGGCGGCGGCCUCGAAGACAUAAAAGAAUUUUGGGUAUCAAGAUACUUAUGAUCAUUUAAAGAAACUGAUGAUCAUCAGAGAUGAGAGAGGUGUGAAAACCCUCCUUUAAAGAAAUGGAAGUGAAAAAUUUUCCCUUCACUUUUUUUCAAAAAUAACAAAUAUUAUUUAAAAAUAGAAAAGAAAUAAAAACAUGGCAGCCAAACAUGUUUUCUGCAUUGGAUUCCAUAUUUGUAUUUUUAUAAAAAAGAUAAAUAGGAAAAGAUGAUAUCAAACGAGGUUGUAAUGUUCAGUUCUGAUUGCCAAAAGAAUUAGAGGCAAGUUAGAUCAUUAGGGACAUUUUAGCAUAAGAUCCAUUAAAGUAUUGAUGCUUUUGCUUCCAUUUAACCUUUUCCUAAUGAAUUAAUCCAGAUUUAUUAGGUUAUAAAAAAUAUAUUCUUUUAUUUUCUUAAGCAAUUAUGAGUCCCAAAAAAGGUUUCAAAUUUGAAUAUUGUUCAUGUGGAAGUGUUCUUAAGAAAUUAAUUCAUCCUUUAUAUAACUUUAGAGUCGUAUCCAAAUAUAGUGACGUCAUUUGUGAACACAAAAAUGAUGUGAUUUGUCAAGGUUUUCUAUAAUCAAAACUGUGAGGCAAAAAUAGAAACAUUUUGGCUUCAAUCUAAGCCAAGGUUGAUUUUGAUAUUUAGUUGAAAUUAACUUUGGUGGCCAAUUCCAUUAUCUAUAUGGAAAUUUAUGAGUUUUGAGUGGAUAUUAAAUAUCAUUAAUUUAUUUGUAAGUCAGCAUUUCUUUCAUGUUUACAUUUUGAUCUCAUUCACUUUGGUAUCCUUAAAUUAUAUGAUAUCGAAUUUAAUGUGAUAUCAGAGGAAUAACCUAUAGUUUAACAGUCAUAUGUGUCGAUGAAAGAAAUAUUUGACACUUUAUCAUACUGUAUUGUCUCAGCACAUCCAUAAAAAUUGGACAUUCAAAGGUCCCAAACAGUAACAUAUAAGUUUGCGCAUUGCAUCUAUUAUUCUAUUUUUUAUUUUACCCUUUCCAUUUCUUUUUAUUUUAUAAACCAAUAUUUUGAAGCUUCAUUCCUAGACUUAUCAAAUAAUGUGUUAGUGAUUUCUUUUGACCAUCAGUAAUUUUCUAAGCUUAUACAAAUCUAUUUGUUUCCCUUUCUUACAAAACCUUGCUGCCUUUUUAUGUAGAACUUUUGUAAAUAAUUAUUUAGGACAUCAUGUUGUUAUGGUGAUUCAUUAAGGUUAGUUGCAGUAACAUUGGCUGGUUUAACUUGAUUCAAUUUAGAUUUUAGAAAGAAAUACCAGAAUUUAUUCUUUCCAAAUUUGCAUAACCUUUGUAAUGAGUAUUGUAUAAUCAAGUUUUUUUUUGUGUGUACGUGCGUGUGUUCAUCUACAUUUACCCAUACCUUUUUAGUUUUGUUAGAUAAAAGACACUGAUGAUCAUUUGCACGAGAAUCUAAGCAUUAGUUUCAUGAAGUGCCUUGAUCUCUUCUUGGAUUUGUAGAUUCUAGUCAUCUCGAGUGACUUCUUGCUCAAAGAUUUGGUAAAGGCAAUGGAGGACAAGUAAGGUAUAUACAAAUUGAUGAUGAUAGGUACCAGAAACAAUUAUGGGUAUCAAAAUUGUAGAUUGUUUUAGCUAUACAUUUUUUCUGCCUUUUAGGAAAAUCAAAACAUGCAAAAUUUUGUCCACAAACCAUUAUCCUAGUCUUAUUGAUAGGUCUACUUUUAUUUUUUUGUCUUGUGCUCUCUUGAAUGGGUUUUGCUUUUCAAUGUUUGUAGAUUUCAUAUGUUAUUUUUGUUGAUAAUAGAGAUUAGUGGUAGGACACCAUUAGUCACUAAAUUUAUUGCAAUAAAAAGUCUAUACAAAGGAAGAAAAAUAAAAUUACAAGAUUAGAAAGUAGGAAGACAACAAAUAUAACAAGAGAAAAACAGCACCCAGAACAAAGAGGUUCUUCAAAAUUACCAACUAGUGGGUUGUGCCCGGGGAGACUCAGAAAAAAAGCUAAAAAAUAGCUCAUCAGCAACAAGAACAAUCCCUUAAGAACUCACUAAAGCUGCUUAGAAAUCCAUCGUAGUCUUCAAGUUUGAAGCCAUCCAGGCAAUCCAUAAGAAGGCAAGCCAAACACCCAAGUCCAAAGGCAACCAUAAGAAGAUCAUCGGACAAAGGAAGAUAGACAAAUGACAUCCAAAUUGGGCCACUUCCAGACUGCAUUUUGAAAGAUAGUAUAAAUAGAUUGAUGUUGGAUAACAUCAUAUUUGCAACCCAGAUGAAGAAAUAAAGAGCCAUCACUAAAGGCCACUUAGAUGAUGGAAGAGGAAAUAAUGCACCAUGCAACAUUCCCUAAUAGAGAGCCAUAAUUUGAGAAAACUAAGUAGACUCUUAUUUCCACAUAAAAGAGACCAAGCAUUGAAAAGUUGUAGUGAAGCACGAGCGACUGAUGGUGCGAAAAGUAUUUAUUCAAAAAAUUCUUGGAGUUUCUUUCCUUCCAAAUUGCCCACAAAAUAGUAGCAAUGAGUAUAAAGGCAGCAUAUUUUGUGACCUUCAAAAAAGAAGCACUUAACCAAUUGGAACAUAAGGCCAAAAGUUGAUCAAGAGGUGAGUUGAUAUCUAGUAAAUAGCAAAGGUUAUUCCAAAUAAAGAGUGAAAAUGGAUAGGAGUAAAAAAGAUGAUCAAAAGAUUUAUUUGAUCCACCACAAAGAGAGCAACCACCUAGAAAUUUGUUGAGUUUUCUAUCCAAUUGUUAUUUGGUAUUAAGCUUAAAGCUUUGAGAUGGCCAAAGAAAAUGUUUAUCUUUGGCGGCAGAUUUUCCUUCCAAACCAACUUAGCAGGUCCCCAUUUAAUACCUCCAAGGAUCAAAAAAUUAUAGAGAGAAGUAGUUAAGUAAGAGGCAUGUUUACAUAGCCUCCAAAUGAGCGUAUUAGAUUCAAAAGUAAAUCAGACAUUUUGCAGCAAAUCAAGCAAUUGAAUUUUCUUCGACCUAGCUUCAAGAGAUAAAUUAAUAGGGCAGAAGAGAUUCCAGGAGGCUGGCUGAGUCCAGAAAAAAUUGCCACAGUCCUAGAUUUCUUCCUAAAGACUUUAAAAAGAGAAGGAAAUAAUGUAUAAAGUGGAGAGUUAGAGACCCAAUAGUCCUUCUAGAAUAGCGUAGUAAGCUCAUUACCAACACUAUAGUAGGAUGUAUUCCAUAGAUAGGCAAAAAAGCUUAAAAUUUUAUUCUAAUGAAGAGACAAUCUCUUCUUAGAUUUCUAACUAGUAGAGAGUUUAACCUUUUUGAAGUACAAUUAAGAAAUGUGUCUACUCCAAGGGCCAAGCUCUUCUUUCAAAAGCCUCCAACCCCACUUAACUAAAAGUGUCAUAUUAAAGGAUCCAAGGUCUUUAAUUUCCAAACCACCCUUUUCUUUAGAGACAUAUCUUAUCUCAACUUAUCUUGCAAGAAGAGUCAGAUUCGAGUCCACAGGAGAGCCCGAUGCAGCUUAUGAAUUCUCUUGAUCAACAAAAUAGGCAGCUUAAAUAAGGAUAAAAUAAACAGGCAAAGCAGAUAAUGCCACAUUAAGAAGAGUUAAUUUUCUACCAAUAGAGAGGAAUCUUUUCUUUCAUCUUGCUAACCUUCAUUCAAACCUUUGGAUUAAAGGUAAUCAGUCAUCUUUAGAAAGUUUCUAGCCUUUAAAGGGAGACCCAAAUAGGGCAUAGGAAGAGAGGUUGUCUGGCAGUUUAACCAAUCAGCAUGUUUAAGAAUAGGACCGGGCUCCUUAGCCAUCAAAGCCGCAGAACUUUUGGAAUAGUUAAUAGCAUGGCACAGGAUCAUCACAAAGCAAUAAAUGAUGAUCUUAAGAAGAGAGAUAUAGUCGUUUUCUGCCUCGGCAAAGGUUAAAGUACCAUCCACAAACUAAAUUUUUGAUCCACCAAAGUAUCAAGGAUUGACUAAUCCCUUGAAGAUCUUAGAUGAGGCAGCUUUAUUGAGCAUCUUAGAUAAAGCAUCCAUAACAAGAAUGAUUUGAUAUGGAGAGCAAGGAUUACCCUAUCUAAGUCCACAUUUACAAGAGAUCUAUUUUUCCACAUCACCAUUGAUAGCAAUAGCCACCUUUGAGAAGAAAAGAAUAUUAUGUAGCCACCUAAUCUGUCUCUUUGGAAGCCUGUAAAUUUGAAAAGCUUUAGAAGAUAGUCAAUGUUUAGCUUAUCAAAAGCUCGAACAAAAUCAAGCUUGUAGAUGACACCAUCAACUUUGCUUUUUUCUUCCAAAAUAGAUCACCUCAUUUUCACACAAUAUGUUAUCAAGUAUUGAUCGAUCUUUAAUAUAAGCCAUUUGUGCUUCACCAACAAGAAGUCCCAUAAAAAAUUUGGAUGGAUGGCCAAGACUUUAGUGAUAAUUUUUAGAUAACUAUAGGUGAGGCUAAUUGGGCGAUAAUCCGAAGGGGAAGCAACUGCUUCUUUCUUUGGAAUUAAGGCAAGAAUAGCAUAAUUGAGGUGAGAUGUAUUAAGAUUAUUUUUAUGAAGUUGCUGAAAAGGAAUGUGAAGGUCAUUACUCAUGAGAUCCCAAGUGGAAGAAAAUAUAGAAAAUCCAUCGGGCGGGAGCUUUUAUCUCCCUUGAAAUUAAACACAGCCUUCUUAAUUUCAUUAAGCGAGAAGUGGGUGCUAAGAGUGCUAAGAUCAGGAUGCAUAUUAGAAUAGAGUUGCCCCUAGUCUAGAUCCACAGAAUGGGUUUUUGGCUUGGUAAAAAAUUGUCUUGAAGUAAGAAGUAAAUGCAUUCUUGAUUGCACCAACACCUACCAGAUAAAUCCCAUUCCAAUUAAGCUUCUUAUUAAUGUUGGCAAUUUUAUAGAAGAAGGUAGUGUUAAGAUCCCCUUAAGCCAUCUAACUUUUGAAUGUUGUUGCUAAUAGAUUUCUUCAUCAUGAUAAGUUCUGAAAAUAUCUUUCUUGUAAGAAGAGCGACACUCCUUAGAGGGUGAGAGAAUAGAAAUUUCCUCCUUAUAAUUAAGGUCAAGGAUUUUUUGAAUGAGAGAAUCUUUUAGAAGUUGAUUAGAGAUUCUUAACUCGGAGCCCCUUUUCAUGUGAGCAGCUUUAGUAGAUCUGAACUUCACGACCAAAUUUAUAGUAACUUUGAGGAAGGAAUGAUGGAAGUCCAAGCAUGACAGACCACCUCUUUAAUAGAGUCUUGAAAUAAUUAGCUUCUAUCAAAUUUAAACUAUAGUUUUCCUUUAAGAUUGUAGAGAAAGGAAAAUGGGUGCAUGAUCCAAGCAGAGAUUCAUCAGGACUGAUUGAGUUAGGAGAGGGCAUAGAGUCCAUUCUAUAGAGAAGAGAAACUUAUCAUGCUUUGCGAUAAUUGGAGCAUCUCUAUGAUUACUUCAAGUGAAUUCUUACCUAUUAUAGCAAGACACAAAAUAAAAGAGAAAUUGAAGAAAAGAAAGAUCAAUACAAACUUAGGAUUUAUAUGAAAAAUCAUCUAAAAAAUCAAAAGAAAAAAUUAUGGGCACAAAUAGUUGGAGAUUUUUUACUAUCUUCAAUAUUGAAGAUUACAGAGUACAAGGAUAAAAAUUUUCAAAAAUUACUUGCACAUCAAAAGAUGACAUAUCUUACCAAAAUAGGUAUAUAGAUAUAUCAAUAAAAUCGGAUCAGAAUAUAGGGGUUCCACCCCCACACCUUCGAAUUUCAAUUGAAGCACCACAUCAGAAUGGUUUUCAACUUAGACAGUCUAUUGUGUAUUUUGACAAUCAUAGUGCUGUAUGCUUGAUAAAGAAUCAUAUAUACCAUAAGAAGACUAAACAUAUCUAUUAAUAUAGAUUUUCGUCUCGAGAUCGGAUCAGCUAGAGUUAGAUGGCGACGACAGGUCGGCAAUAGUCAGAUGGCGGCGAUAGGAUCUGCAAGAAAAGUCUUUAACCAGAUGUGGCUCCGACAGAGACCCUCUGACGCUCAAGUCAGAAAUCCAACAACAGAAGAGAAGUGAGCAUGUUAGGAGAGAGGAGAUUUCAUACAUGGAGGGUCCCUCUUGGCUCUUUAUUUAUGGACAGAGGCUGGAGAACCGUAGGAGGAAGGAGGAUCAGACGGUUAAUCUUGCUUUAUUGGACGAGAUAUGGCCGUUAUCCUUAUCUUAUCUGGAGAGAUUUUAUUUGUUAUUCAUCUUUAUCUACACUACUACCGGUGGUUGUUUGAAUUUUUGAAAGAAGCCUGAGAUUUGAGGAUUCAUGAAGGUCAAUCCUUGUAAGCUUCACGUCUUUGGCCAGGAUGAAAUUACCCCUAAUAAUAUUGAUAUUAGAUUUCACUUGAUUUGAGAAGUAAGUUAGAAAAUAAUUUUGAUAAGGUAAGUGAGCAUAAAUGACAAUCUUGCAGACAUAUUGAUAAAGUCCAUAACCAUAAGCAAGUUCAGGCAUUGCUUGGACUUGGUUAGAGUUAGCAGCUAUUGAGAUGGAGCCCUUAGGGUUGAAGUGGAGUUGGUGAGAGGUUUAACAUUUUAUGUAACUUGGCUAAAUAGAAGUCAAGAUAGAGAUUUAUAGAGGUGUCUUGCACUUUGAUUAGCAUUAGUCAUAAAGUUAAUAGAGGCAUUUCUACGAACCCGAUCCGAUUUUAUUGAUAUCUUUAUGUAUCUGUUUUGAUGAGAUAUAUUACCUUUAGAGGUGUAAGUGAUUUUUUAGAGUUUUUUGCCAUGUACUAUAUAAUCUCCAAUAUUGAAGGCAGUAAAAAUCUCCAACUAUCUCUUUGCAUGGUUUUUUCUUUGAUUCAGAGGGUUUUCCAUAUAAAUCCUGAGUUUGCAUUGAUCUUUAUUUUCUUCAAUUUCUCUUUUAUUUGGCAUUUUAUUACAAUAUUAUCCUUUUAGAAGGAUAUCGAAGAGUUAUAAGCAUCUAAGAAGAUCAAAAAAGGCAAAAGUAACCAUCCUAGUUUGAAGGUUUUCCUUUCUUUCAUGAGAAAGAUAAAUGGCAUUGAAAUCACCAUCCAAAGUUCACAGAUCACUGAAGGAGCUUCAAACAUUCUUCAGUUCUUCCGAAAUGAUAGGUUUAUGGGCUAUAUACAAAUACACCAAGGGUGGUUGAGGAUUUCAUCAAACCAUUGGAUUGUGAUAGAGGAGUGGAAAAUCUCAGUUUGUAAGAUCAAUCUUAUCGAGUUGUUGCUAGGAAGAAUGCCCCCAGAAGAUACAAGAUUGUUCAGAGAGGUCUAGUAGUCAAUUUGGCCAUUGGUAAAGGUCUAAGUAUUGCAUAAAAACAUGAAUCAAUUUGAUAUCUAUAAGGCCAACCAAGCAAUAGUUAGUAGAGAUUGUUAAAUCUCUGACAACUCUUCUCUCAAGGGUGUCACCCAUACUCCUAACAUUCCAACUAAGGAUGGAAAUGGCAAGAGAAACCAAAAAAGAAAGCAAAGAGGCCACUGACAGAGAUAUAGACGAGUUAGAGAAUAUUUACUGAUAGCCAUGACUGAGUUAGAUAUUAGUAUUUGCUUUAUCAUCCUCAAAUCUGAGAAUCAGAUUAACCACUUUAUCCAUCUCAAUAUAUGAUAUUUUAUUGCACAUUAUCUCGCUCAAGAAAGAAUAGUAUCAAAUUCAAGGGAGUGAAGAGGUUUGGUACCCCAAGAAGAAACAAUAGGUGUACUAAAAAUAGAACAAAGACCGGUAAUAACUGAAUCACAGCAAUUAACUCUUUCUUUCUAAAGGAGAGAAGCUUUGAGGUGUGGCUUCUCUGAUUGCCAAAUGAGCUUUGGCUUAUUGGUAGUAUUUAGAUCCCUCAAGGAUUGUAGGGAUAGAAAAAGUCUUGGAAGAAGCUGCUAGGGGUUGUAGACCCAGACACUAUUCCAUGAAGGCUGACUCGGAACGAGAGAUCCCUAGAUUAUGAGCAUUAGAAGGAAUCAAAUGCAAAGGAGACAAGCAGCAUAUGGUAGAGUGAUUCUUAGCUAAGGCCAAUUUCUCAAAAAAAUUUAUGUCUAAAUCCAAAGAAUUGGAUUGGUUUUCAAAUGAGCCACACUUAGGGUUUGCUAGCACCAAGGAGGAUGAAUCCUCAUCUAAAAUGUAGGACUCAAGCGAUUUUGAAUUCAAGUCCAACUCUCUAUAUCUAUACUGACUCGACAUUUGCUCUAUCAAAAAUUAUAAUGAAUCAGGUAAUAUAGUCCACAUCCACUAUAAGAAAAUACUCAAUCAGGGACAAAAUAAUUUUCUAUGAAUCAUAAUUUGUUGCUAAUAACCACCAUAAGGUAACAAAAUAAAAGGUUUGUCAUGAAAUAUCAUUUAAAUAAUAUUUUUGGUAAUGAAAUUAUAUUUCAUUACUAAUUUUUGUCAUAAAUUUAUGGCGGCAAAUCUUCCCACUUCGACUUUUUGGUGAGAAACUUUUGGUAAUCAUUUUCUUAAUGAAAAAUUAUUGUCACAAAAAUCAUAAAUUUUAGUGAUGAUAUAUUUUUGUUAUGAAUUGAUUAUUAAUUUUGACGAUGAUGUUAGAAUCAUUUCCAAAUAUAUAUUUAUGGAUAUAUAAAAUUAAUAAAUAGUAGUAAUUUUUUUUAAUAAAUUUAAUUCAUCACUAAUAUUUCUCAUAUUUGAUAUUAAAAUUAUAUUUCAUCACAAGUAGAUCAUUAUUUUUUGAUGAUGAUGUCAUCUCAUACCAAAUAUUUAUUUAUUGAUGACGUAUAUAAUUUUAUCAUAUAAUAUAGAUUAUUUAGUAAAGAAAUAGUAUUUCAUCAUAUAUUUUUCAAUAUAUAAAUUUAUAACAUAAUUUUUUUUACUAAUUAUCUAAUUAACUUUUAGUAAUGAUAAUUUUUUAUAGUUAAAUAUAUUUUUAUUGACAACAUAUAUAGUUUUGUCAUAAAAUACUAACUAUUUAAUGAUAAAAUAGUUUUUAUCACCUAUAUAAUGUUAUAUAGCUUUUGCGAUGGAAUAGUUUUUAUUACAAAUUAUUUAUAUAAUUUAGUGACAAUAGUGUUUCAUCAUUAAAUAUAUAUUUAUCAAAAAUAUAUAUAGUUUUAUAUUUUUAUUUUUGUCAAAAAGAAGAGGAUUAAAUUUUUUAUAAAAGUAAUUAAUUAUUAAAAUAUAAAAUAUCACAAUAUAUUUGAAAUAAGUAUAUUUUAUAAUGUAAAUAUAUUUUAAAUAAGUAUAAUAAAGUAUUAUAUUAUAUUAUAAACUAAUAUUAUCAUAAUGGUUGUGUAGUAGGUUAUAAACUAAGAGGUCUUAGGUUCAAAUCUUCAUAUAGGGAUAUAUCUUAGGAUAUAUGAAUUCAAUUGUGAAAAUAUUUUUAUCUCUAGCACAUAAUUUUAAGUGAUGAAAUAAUAUUAUUGCCAAUAGCCAUCAUUUUAUAAUAAAAAGAAUUUCAUUACCAAAAUAUUUUAUGAUAAAAUUACUUUCAUCAAGAAAAAAAAUAUUUUUGCAGCAAAAGAUAAUGCACGUGACCUUUAGAACUGAUUUUUUUAUAACAAAAUAGGUGUUUAGGCAACAUUGUUUACUAACUUUUGAUGAAUUAUUUUGUUAGGAAUCUAUAUAUAUUUAGUAUAAAUUUUAUUUUAUCAUAAAAUAUUUAAUAUUUUGUGAUGAAUUACUAUUUUCAUCAUUAAUGACUUUGAGUGAUGGGGCAUUGGCUACGAACCUGGCGACAAUUUUUUUCAUCGCAAAAUAUUUUACACGAUAAAAUUUAUUUUUUAGCAAUAAAUUUUUUUUAUGGCUAAAUGUAUACAUUCUUGUAGUGAUCAUCAGGUCCACCAAAUGAGGAGAUAAUAGUUUCACAUUGAAGAUCAGGACUAUAACAUUUGAAAGAAAGUGAGAACAAAAUGGUGCACCUUGCAAUGCAGCCAUAAGAUCGAUAGAGACAAUCGAAUAUAGUAGUAAGGCCAAAUCCAAUAAAGAUUUAGAAAAGAAAUGAGAAGAGAAAACUCAACAUGGUCUGACAGCCUCAAGCUCAAGAGAGCUUGAUCAAUUAGACUGAAUUGGAGAGAAGAUCGGCUCAUUAAUAACUAUUUCACCACCAUCGGCUCGCUGGCUUCACCAAGUUAUGACUCGGAGUGAGUCAACUAGCAGAUCUUACGAGUUUAACUUAGUAGAGAUGCCAAACCAAUUACUUGAAAUAAAAAUCGAUGAAGCAAUAGUAAUAGGAGGGACUACCUCUAAGAAAUUCUUUUGAGUUGCAGAACUAGAAGAUUCAUCUUUAUGAGCAGCUACGACUUUAUCAACAAUAAUUGCUUUACCCCUAUUCAAAAGGAGGCAAUAGGAGAUGCAAUAGAAGGGACAUUCCUUGGAGACAGAGGAGGAGAGAUAGAGAUCAAAGGUUCUCAAUCUUUAUUCUCAUCAAGCUCAGCCAUCUAAUUGAAGAAGGGGGUGAGAUCAGGAGCAGAGAGAAAGAGGAUGCCCUUACCUCAAGAAUAUAAAGUAUAAUAGGAUAAAUAAGAUUUUUGUAGUAAACAUCCACUUUUGGGGGGAUGAGAUUAGCAUGUUUGUACAGAAUGGUUACCAAAAAAAUCUUCAUGUCCAAAUUAGAGGAUUGAAAAAAGAUUUUCUGCAUUAGCCCAAUGCUAGAGACAAUUCUAUGGAUGGAUAGACUUAGCACUUCUAUAAAACAACAAUAAAUCUGAUAACCUCGAGGACAUACAUCUAAGAAGAGAAACUUCAAAUCCUCUAUCAAAGAUAGACCAUGGCGAGAUCGGGGAGGAGAAAUGAGGUGUAGUGAUAACAUCUUUUCUAUAAGCCAAGAUCACUUUCUUCUGGAAGCGAUGGGAAUUAAGAACCUAUUCUUUCCAAGAGCAUAGAGGUUUCCAAUCUUAAUCUUAAGGAAAGUUUCCAAUCCUUUAGCUAGUUGAGAGCUAGAGAUGUUAGACCCAUUUUUCAGAGAGACUCCACCACCCUAGAGUGAAUAGCCUCUUUAAAAUUAUCUUGGAGGUCCAGAUCCAGAGGGACACAAACUUUCGCCCUCUCAGGCCUCCCCAAAAUCUUUUUGUUCAGAAAAAAAGAAAAGAUAGUAGCUGAGAAGCACACUCGAGAAGAAUGCCUAUACUCUGCACAACAAAAAAAAAAACAAUCCAUUUUUGCAGAUGUUUUUAAAAUGUCCUAGCUCCCGACAUCUAAAGCAAGAGCCUUUUUUAAAGAAAAUAGACUUUGGAAAGGAUUUCUUCUCUAAAACCAUUAGCAUGUGUAUAUAAGGUGGCUUAGGAAUAGCCUCCUUAAAAGAUAUGGAUCCACCAUGACUCUGUAAUAACAAAAGUUGCCAUACUCUGACUUUUGAUAGAAGGGAGAGGAGGAAACUUUAAGGGAGUAAUAGUUUGAGAAUCUAUUAAUGAAGAGGUCAAGGGAGAAAUACUCAACACUCCUUUCAAAUGGAUAUCAAUGGAUUGAAAAAGAUGCCAACCUAACAUAGUGUGAAAAGGGCCACCAAUAGGUACAACAUUUGCCCCAAUAAGAAGGAUUGCCUAUUCAUCUUCUUAGAUGAAGCUCUAGGCAUAGGUUUCCAUCUUCUCACAAGGGAUCUUCCUCAAUGUCUUUCGCUGGAUUUUCUCUUCAUCUUCGCCCUCUGUUCUAAUGUUUGAUAAACUCUUUAUAACAUUUCAAUUAAAGAAAAUAUUUGCAGAUUUUAUUUAUCGAAAAGAAACUAAAUGCCUAUGUGGACUUGGUGUUUCUUCAUGGCUCUUUAAGGAAAUGGGUAUUAGAUUACAAUUGUUCUUGCUUAUUCCUUUCAAGAGUUCAUCAAAUAGGACUAAAAAUAAAUUGGCUUAAGGAACUAAUUGACCUUGUCUAUGUUCAACCUUUCCAUUCUUUUAUCCAGUACAAGACAAGAUGCAAUGUAUUGUGCAGAAUGGUUUGAAAGUGAUAUGCAUUUGCUAAUAUUAUUUGAUCAAACAACUUACUAGUGUCAUUAGAUUGAUUUGUCACUUUUGGGAGGAAUUAAAUAAAUAAUAAUGUAAAUUAUUUUUUCAUUGGGUAACAAGAUACAUAUUAUUAAAAGUUAUUUGAAAAAUGAUAUAAAAUUGAAGCACAUGCAAUACCAUUGAUUACCCUUUUCAAUGGGAUCAAGAGAAGAAGUGACAUGACUAUGCAUGCGCUUCAGGAGGAAAAAUGUAAUGAUAUUUUCUUAAUCAAUAGUCCCUAAUAUAAUUUUAUUAUGGGUAAUACGCUUGAUACUAAACUUGUUAACUUAUCACAAGAAAUAUUAAAAUUGUUAAAAUCUAUUAAUUAGGAAAUACAUGAGUUAUAUGGAAUCGGUAUCUCGUUGCUUAAACAAUAAAGGCCUUCAUCUUGUUCUCCAUCAAUCUUACUCUUUGUAGUUAAUUAGUGAAACACUAUGAUGGCAAAAAAUAUUUUGCACCCUUGUGACAUUUUCUAAAUAGAAGAUUUUGAGAGUUUAUGAAAUUGCAAUGAGGAAUACAAAGAUAAAAAAUAAGGUGAAUAAGACAUAACCACAUGAUCAACCUUACAUAAGGAACUCUUGCUGACAACAUUGAAAAUAUUGAACUAUUAUUUAUGGCAAAUACUAAGUGUUGUUCAUCUUAAAUCAUGUGAUUCCAGAAGAAUUAGUGGCCAAAAGAAGAUCUAAAAAUUACAACUCAUCUAUUAUCGAGUGAAGAUAGCGGACAUAGACAAGGUAACACCACUUGAUGAAGGUUGGUUCUUCAACAUCUAUUGAAAUUAGAUAUAAUCUUCUUGGAUAAAUCUGCUAUCUAAUCAUGUAGAUAAAUAAAGAUUAAUAUCUGCAAUGAGUUAGAUUGCUCUUUACAUUUGAGGAUUUUGCAAAAAUAGCCCACCUUAUCUUCUUUUUUGCAAAUCUGGGUUAUCAUUAUGUGCUUUCACAAAAGAUGUACCAGCUCCAAGUUUUUGGAUACUUAUUUUUCUAGAUCCAAACAAAUAUACUAGGAAGAUAUCUUUAAGUAAUUGUAAAUAUACAACGUAGACUAUGAUCCUGUUGAUUGGAUUGCAAGUUAGAUCUAGUCAAAUGAAAUCAAAAAAUAAGGGUUCGAUAUUGAUGAUCCAAGUGCUUGAAUGAGAGCUACUAUCUUAAAAUUUCUACUUACAUACCAAAAAUCACAUAAUUUGAAGAACAUUAACCUAUGUCUCAAGUGGUCAAUAACAAGCAUUGAAUUAUGUCAUUUAUACUAUUUAUUUUUGACAACUUGUUGGAUAGGUAGAAAUUUAGUUGGGAGAUGUAGGUCAAUUUAGUGGCUCUUGGAUCAUUAUUAUGGCACUCUAAUUUCAUCUAACUGCAUUCAACUUAAAAUCUAGUCAAUCUGAUCCUAAUUCACCUCAUAAAUACGUAUGUUUGAUAGUAAUUUGACAUAUUUUGAUAGCAAAUGCACAAAGAUUAUACAUAUUAUUUAUAUUAGAUGCACCUUUGUUUGGACAUACAUUGCACAUUGAUGAACUUGGUGUAUUUAUCAGAUCAGGCUCAAGUGUUUGAAAUAAGAUUAGCCUCUCUUUGCAAAAUAAAAAUAUUAAUGUGGCUUGUAUAAGCAAAUAUAAUAUCUUUGUAAUUCUUUUUACAAAUAUUAGCAUGUAGUGCUGGCAAUAAGAAUCCAAAUUAAUUAACCCACCUUGCUUGACUCAAGCCUGACUUGUAUAUUCUGAAUCAUUUCUUCCACUAAUUGGCUUUUGGUGAAGCAAUAUCAACCUAUAGUCUAUAUCAGCUAGUUUAGGUCAGGAUUAUUCAUGUCAUUGGAUUGUGUCUAAUAUGUUAUAAUUGUAAUAUACUAAACCAAUGAAAUUUGACUCUUUCUUGCUCUAGUUUCUCAAUCUUCUUUCUCCUCUUUUAUCUCUUUUCCCGUGAUGUGUCUCUUGUCCUCUCUUAAGGGUUGCAACUUGGUGGUUUGGAUUAAAUUUAGAGCUGAUCCUAAACUAAUCCAACCUUGGGUUUGGAUUUCUCUAACUCAACCUAAUCUCUUCUAUAGCUAUAUUCAUGUCGGGUCAGGUUAGUUUCAAGUAUGGCUAGUUUUGUUGCAAUAGUUGAGCUAGAUUGGUAGAAGUAUAGGUAAAUUUAAGACUGCGGAAAGAUUUUGAGCAUUUUUAUUAUGUAAACAUAUUGGUUAGGAUCUUCUUCAUAUGUAAUUAUAUAAUUCUAUAACUUAAUAAAGCUAAAUAUAUGGUUUAAUUCAAUAUAUUUGUAUUUCAUGUGAAACAUAUAUAAGCAUGUAUUCAUUUUUUAGGUUAGGUUGUCUAAGUUAGAUUUGGUUUAUGAUGGGUUAGGGUUUGGUAAACACCCAACAUGAGUGAAUUUAGCUUGCGAUUUUAAGCCUAGCCCAAUCCAGAUUUGUAUAACCUUAGCAUAACCAUACCCAACAAGAAGGUUUGAAUGGUUGGGUUCAAGCUACCCUAAGCUACAUUCCUAUCUCUUUUGCUCUCCCUCCUUUCCUCUCAUCCUUGAUGCAAUUUAGCUUUGAAUUAGAUUUUAAUUGAAUAUUUUGUGUAGUUAAUUUAUUGUUCUAUAGUCUUCUUUUAGUUGCAAUUGGGACGUGCAUGGUGCAUGUUCAAAAAAAGAAAUAAAUAUAAAAUUUUAAGAAUAAAAAAUAAAAGGAGAACAAUAAGAUCUUUCUUAUUAUGUAUUGUCUUUUGUCAUCAAAGUUUAUUGUACUUAUCAAUACCGUAUCGUACCGGAUGUAUUGUAUUGUAUCGGACAUAUCAUACUAUAUCAGGCAUACUGUAUUGUAUCAGACAUAUUGUAUUAUACUAAUAUUGAAUCAAUAUAUAGUCUCAUAUUAUAUUAACACUUGGUACAUCUCGCCUUCUCAUAUUAUACCGUGCACCAAUACUGUAAUAUGAUGGUAUCAAUAUGGGUCGUGGUUUGGAGAUGGCUAAUCUUAGUUGUCAUUCUUAAAAAGAAUAAUUAGAAUACGUAAUGUUUGGACCAAAGAGAGAGAGAGGCAUUAGAAACUCGCAUACCUAAUAAAUAGAGAUUGGAACCCAAUUAUAUUUCUUUCCAUUUUUGAAGAGACAAGGUUUCCUUCUUUUUACUACUCAAAAAAAGUCAAAAUUAUUUAAAUAUGAAGAAGUAAUAGAUUUUUGAAAAUUGAAAGGAUAUUUUUAGUAAAAAAAUUUUAGAUAGAAUUAGAAUAAUAUGUUCUCCAAUUUCAAAAUUAUUUUUAAUAUACUAUAGAUAUUUUGUAUGAAGACUAUGUUUUUUGAUAGAUCAAUUCUAGUUUACUUUUGUAGUCAAUUUUUUAAUCUAUGUGAGUAAAUAUGUUAUCAAUUCCUACAUUAGUUCUAGGGUUUAGAAAUAUUUUCAAGCCUUUGAAAUAGUUUUCUGAAUUACUUUUGAUGGCAUCUUGUAUUGUGCUUAUAUUAACGAAAUUUUGCUAUCUUUAGAUUGUGUAUAAAAUCUUAUUUCCUUUUUAUUUCAUCCUAAGACAAAAGUCUAGAAUCAUCCAACCUAAAUAAAUAAACCUAUAUAGUAAGUCAUAUCAUGUCUUAAGAUAUGAAUGAAAGAGAAUAUUGGCCAUUGGGACAUGCGAGGAUAAUAAUGAAUCAAGAAGAAAAAGAGAGAAACACAGGAAUAUAAUAUUUAUGUGGUUUGGUCUCUUGAUUUAUGUCCAUGGAUAGAGACAAUACAAAUGUUUUACUAUAAAAAAAUUAAAGAUUAUAAUAUAUGAGGUUUCCUCUCAUCUUUUAGAGUUAGGACACACACACACAUAUAUGAUAGAGUAAGUCGCUGUGCACUCAUAUAAUCAUGUAAGUCCAACUUGUGGGGGCUACACCCCUGAACCACCAACUAACUAAUCAUGUGGCCCAAACAAAACAAGUAUCGCGGCCCAAGGGGGGAUCUUUUUUCCUCCACUCCACUCAUUUCACUUGUUGCGCUACAUUCCACUUGCUUCACUCACUCUCUUUUUAUCUUCGUAAAGCUUGUAAACUCAAGAAAUACUCAAUAGAAAGUAAAGAGUAUAAUGGAUCAUGCUCAUGAAUAGAAAUUAUGAUUGUUUUCUAGUUAUAAGCUUUAUGUAUCUUUUAAUGCUUUUGUUCGUCGAUCAGUAUUUAGGUGUUCUCAUAAACUAUGAAAAAUGAACACUUUAGGAGCUUGUAUCUUUUUCCUACUAUUUUUCUGCAUAAAAUAUUGAAAUAAAUUAAAGUUUAUUCAUAGUAGGUUAAUGGAUCCAUUGUCAUUGGGUUUCCUUUAUGAUUACUAAGAUAGUGAUGAACGUAGAUUGGAUGAAAGAUUCCUAUCCAUAUGAUCAAUGGACGUGGGAGCAAUACAAUAAAAUAUAUAAGAGAUAAAAUGUAAUUUAGCACUAUAUUGAACUAGUUUAGUUAUCAAACAUAUCAACUUUCAAUGAAGUGAGUAGAUUUGUUGAAUUUUAUUAAGUCAAUGGCGAAUUGUUAGUAAUUUUAUUUGCAUCCGAUGAUACAAAGGAUAGCUAACCUGCAAAUCAAGAUCGAAAGUGAAAGAUCCUGAAGUUUCCAUAUUUGAACACCUAAUAGACUAGAAAAUUAGUGAUUAAACAUCCAUGGAUAUCUUGAUUGAAUAUCACCAUAUUCUUAUGGCUAAAAUUCUCCCACAAAUGUCAACCAUAAAACUUUCAAAUGUCAAUGAUCUGCUAUGAUGAAUUCUAGACAUCGGCUUAUCCUGAGAGUUACUAGUUACAUAUAUUUUUUCAAUUUCUCUAAUGCUAUUUCAACAUUUUACUGAUGUCGAUCCUAUAGAUUAUUAUUUGGCUUAAGAUCUGUUGAACAAGGUCUUUGGUAUGUUAAUCUAAUAAUUUGGUAGCUCAAAAAGUUUAAGUUGAUAUCCAUCAUUUGUCAGGAUCGUAGCCCCAAUCAUUUUGCCAAAAAGGGCACCCCUAAUGGAAUGGUGGUCUAUUUUUCUUUAACCCGAGUCUAGAGCCUAGCGGUAAGCACACUGGCGGGCCUAAAGGGCUUUGCACCUGGGUCGAUCUGCUUCAAGCCAGAUUGAACCCGUGCGUCGAGCCGGAUAGCUACUCCCAUUUAAUCAAUUCCUAAUCCGAUUAGCUGACCCACCCCCAUAAGUGAGCCAACUAACAGAGAUUACCACGUGGAGUAAGUAGCAUGACCCAUCUAGGCGGCAUGGCCUCUAACAGAUUCGGCCCCACAGGGUUCGCUGGAAAAUCUACAUCAACAAUCCCCCCNNNNNNNNNNNNNNNNNNNNGCAUAACCUGGGGGGGUGUACGAGAUUCGAACCUACAACUUCACUUUGAUACUACAUGUUAGGAUCAUAGCCCUGACCAUUUUGCCAAAAAAGGCACCCCUAAUAGAAUGAUGGUCUAUUUUCCUUUAACCUGAAUCCAGAGCCCAACGAUAAGCACGUUGGUGGGCCUAAGGGGCUUCGCACCUGGGUCGACCUGCUUCAAGCCAGAUCGAACCCAAGCGUCAGGCUGGGUAGCUACUCCCAUUUAAUCCAUUCCUAACUUGAUUAGCCGAUCUACCCCCAUAAGUGAGCCAACUAAUGAAGAUUGCCACAUGGAGUAACCAGCACGACCCAUCGACGACCUCUAACGGAUUUGGCUCUACAGGGUGCGCUAGAAAAUCCACGUCAACAUCAUUGAUUUUAGAGAUCAAAAAAUGGAUCUAACAACUAUGCAUCACUAAAUAGUUUGUACAGGUAUCCUAUCUAUUAGAGAAAUAAAUGAUGCUUUUGUAACUUUGCAAGACCUUUCAUGCUACGACUCCAAUAAGUCAUUUUAAUUAGGGAAUAAGGAUACACCUUUUUCAAAAUAAUAAAAAAAAUAUAAAUUUGUUUAAUAUACUCUAAUAUCAUUCUCUAGUUUUUCUUUUCAUGUUAAUCAACUCCCCCCCACUCCCCUCCAAAAAAAAAAAGAAAGGAUAAUGACUAUCUACAUGCCCACAACUAUUAACACUCACCCAAGUACCCAUUCAAAUAUAACAUGCAUAGCUACAUUACUUCACAUUUGUCAUUUCCAUAUAUGAACCCUUGCACCCACACCUCCACUAAUUGAGCCAUGAUAAGAUCUCUUAAGUCAUCCACAUUUAAUCAAUGAUUUACAAGGAGGCUACAAUAUGCAAGUGAUCAAGGGAGUGCAUACUAUAUAUGCAUUACAUUGGCAUAAUGGUAUUAAGGUACAUGAGAUUGGACCAUAAGAAAAAAUUACAGUGUGCUCGAAAAAAAAUUUAAAAAUUUACUAUUAGACUUAUAAAUAUAAAAAUUCUUAAAUUUAGAAUCCUAUACUUAUGUUAGAUGUAUUCAUUUAUUUCUAUUCACCAUGUUUGUCUCAAGGUAUUGUAAAAUGUAUAUUUGCUAGAACAGUAGGAAAUCUUUUAAGAUUAUCAAAAUAGUUGAAUUAUUAAUAUUGUUGAAAUAAUUGAAAUGAAGAAUGAUUUUACAGCUAUCACAUGAGUGCCUAAAGGGAUGCAUGGGCUAUGGUGAUUGCCUCACCAAAGCUAUUUGACAACUCUAAAGGAGAGCUUGAGGUCAGACCAGAUAUUAUAAAAUUAUUCAUAUAUGGCCAGCUAUAAUGAGGUAGGAAUUAAGUUAUCCCUUGUUUUCUCUUCUAUUAACCAUGUUAUCAUAUAUUCUUGCUUAGUUUUUUCUUUAUUUUUAAGAAAAUAAGUGCAUAAUCCAAUCAUAUUCUUGCCUUCUUAUUUUAAAAAUGAAUUAGGUAACGUAUUAGGAUUGAUCAAGAAAUUCUUCUCAUUGUAUUUAAGAGUUUUCCCAUUAGAAAAAUAAAUUCAGAUAUUUCAUCUUCUUUAAGUUUCAAUUCUUUUAUGUUUUUUUGAUUUUUAUUGCUUGCAAAAAUAAAUUUUAGAUGUUUCCCCUAUGUCUCAAUUCUACUUUGUUUUUGCAUUAAUUGGAGAACAUUUUCUUGGUUAUGGAUUAAACCACACUUGUGUAUUUUAAGUUGAAAAUCAAAAAAUUUCAAAUCUCUGGUUAAUCUUUGAGGAUCUGAAUAAUGUCAUAUAUAACACGUAUAGAUUUGAUUAUCUGAUACAUAUGCACUGCUGAUAAUCUUAGAUUACAUUGUGAUGCUUGGAGAUUGCAGCUUGUUAAAUUGUAGAACUGCUGUAUUGAUAUUGUUAAGAUUUUCUUGUUAGAUAUUAAGAUUUAUAUAGAAAUUGUCCGACCAAAGGCUUUUUCCUUUAUUUUUUUUGAUUUUUUCAAAUUAUUCUGAUAUGACUAAGAUGUGCUUGGCAUAGAUUUUUGAAAUUAUAUAUCGCAUAACCUACUUUGGAUAUUGAUAGAUGGUAAAAGUUUACUUGGGAUAAAAUCUUUCACAGAUUUCAAUGGCAUAAGUUUCAUCCAUUAUUGCUCUCAUGGUUAAGUCACAGUAUCAUAUAUAUCAGUUCAAUAUUAUUGUACGUAUAUAUUUUAUAACAACUAAUUCAAUAUUUUGAUGUACUUUUAGCAUCAUAUAUCAAUUUAGUAUUAUUGUAUGCAUAUAUUUGAUCACAACUAAUUGAGUAUUUUGAUGUACUCUUGGCACCAAUAAAAAAUAAAAAAAUUGAAGAUAAUUUCUAUUGAAUACAGUUGUUCAUGUUGAUUCAACAAGAGUAAUUCAUAUGCUUUGUUUAUACACGAUACAAAUGCUUGUAGGAUAAUUUUCUGAUAUGUUUGAUGCUUAUGUUAAAUAUCCUAUUUUUACAAUUAAGAAAGCCUUCUAGAUACUUUGAGAUAUGCUCAAGAUACUUCUCUAAGAUUUUUCUUUAUUUUUCUUUCAAAAAGAAGAGCUAAGCAUUUAAUUUUGAAUGACCAAUUUUAGAGUUUAUGAUAUUGAUACUAUUAAAUAGAGUUAGGAUUAGGUUUAUGAAUUUAACAAUGAUUAAAUGAUGAGUUUGUAGAAGUUUAUGGAUGCUAUUUUGUAUAUUUACAUUUUUAUGCAUGCUUUUUUGUAUAUCUACAUUCAUAUGCAUAUGUUUAUUUUAAAUUCACAUAUAUUCCAGCCGUAUCAUAUCCUAUUUUUUCAAGAUUUGUCGUAUCAUAAUCGUAUCUGUUUCUUAUAUCUGUGCAUCUAUUUUUCAUAGGUGGGAAUGUGGACCACCAUUUUUAAAGAGCACAUCCUUAAAAAUUGGUAUACUAAGAUUAUGUUCACUUUGCCUGAAUUUGACAAUAUUGAAUAUUGAGAGGCCUUGUCUUGUUUAUACAUGGAAGUUAUAUAUGCAUUGCUUUUAUAGUUUUAUACUAAAUUCUUUGAGUCUUCUUUUAAAUAUUGAAUUUGUGCAUGUUGAGCUUCACCUUAGGUUAUUAUGAUGCAGUUAUAGUUGAUAUUCAAAGUAGAAAACAAACAAAGAACUUUCGCAUAGGUGUAAGUAUAGGGAUAUAUAUAGUUCAAUAUCGAAUUAAGAGAUGCCUUAUAAGGUAUAUACAUAGUUAAAUAUAUCAUUUUCAAGUGAUUACCAUAAUUAUUUCAAUAAAUUUAUUACUUGGAGUUGUUCAUUUCCUUGCAUCCAUGCACUCUUAUAGCUACACUUGUACCAACUUGCACAUGAUUGUGUGAGUACAUUGCACAUGUAUAUCUCAAGAUAUUGUAUUUGCAAAAAUCAGUAGAAUAACAUGCUAUGUUUUGGUGGUGCUGGCUUCAAUAUUAGUGCACUAGAUGGUGAGAGUAUACUUAUAGGUAACAAAGCUUCUUGCCGAGGCUUAAUAAUGAUAUGGGAGUGUUUGCAGCUAUUCGUGUCAUGUAGAAGCUAUCCAAGAUCCACUACCAGGUAGAAAAGUCGGAAUGUGGUUGUUCAUCUAGCCUGUCCUAUACUUGAUAGAAUAUUAUGGCUGUAAAAUUUUGAAGGCUUCACCAAAAUCAAAUGUUGAUAUUUAGUAUUAAGAUCGUAGCUCCUAAUCACUCUUCUAAAAGGUAAUUAUCCGAUUAAAAAAGAGAGAUUUAUUAGCCUUUAUCCACAAAGCACAGAAUCCUACGUCUAUAUGUGCUGCGGGUGGACCUGAGAGGCUCCGUACAGGAGUUGAUCUGCUUCAAGCUAGAUCGAUCCCAGUGGCAGAUGGAGUGGUCACUCUCUUUUUAAUUUUCCAACCGAAGCACAAGCUGACCCCCCAUAAAAGAUCAACCCUCCGAGAAUUGUUGCCACAUCACCAGCCACAUAAACUCCGCGUGGGGGCCCCAAAGGGUGUGCGCUAGAAUAUAGCCAACAAUCUCCUUCCCCUCCCUCGCGACUAUUUGAAGGGCCAAGUAGGAUUCGAACCUACAACCUUGCUCUGAUACCACAUAUUAAGAUCAUAAUCCUUAACCACUCUUCUAAAAGGUAAUUAUCCAAAAGGAGGAAUUUAUUAGCCUUUAUCCAUAAGGCAUAGAAUCCCGUAUCUAUAUGUAAUGCAGGUGGGCUUGGGGGGCUUUGCACUGGAGUCCACCCGCUUCAAGCUAGAUCGACCUCAGCGAUAGGUGGAGCAACAGUCUCCCUUUAAUCUUCCAACCGAGGGAUGAGCCGAACCUCCCAUAAGAGGUCGAUCCUCCGAGAAUUGUUACCACAUCACCAGCCACUUAAACGCCAUGUGGAGGCCUCGAAGGGUGUGCACUGAAAUAUAGACAACAUUUAGGUUACUCGAAAAUAUCAAGGAUAACCGGAUAUGGAGGGAGUUUCUUGUCCCCAAAGCAUGUGUUUUCAAAUUGUCAUUAAAUCUCGUGCAAAAGUAAAAUUUAGAGGAAUAUUGGUCGACUUAUGCAUCGAUAGUUGUAUAGGUGAUUUGUUGUACUAAUACAUUUGAUUUAUCUUGCUAACAUAAAUGACAUUCUCAAAAUUUUCAAUGAUAAAAUCUUCUACUAUUCUUCUUGAAAAUCGUGAUUUACUAUUUUUGAGGUGGAAUUAGAUUAAUAUAGUUGUAUUAUGAUUGUGUUGCUUAUGAGUACUUCUAUAUUUUUGUAUGCAAUGAUUAACAUCAUAGUUUACCAUGUAUUGGACUAUUUUAUCAUUAUUGUUCUAAUGUAGUAUCAUGUUACUUGAUAAACUCAAAUCAAAAUUGCCCAUUAAAUCUGUUGAACAUAUAGAACAAAGUUGUAGCUAGUUUAUAAUAUUGUACGUUGCUCUAGUCCCUUCGCAUUUCCAUCCAAUUCUUUAGGCAUGAGAAAAUCCAAAGAAAUACAAAAUCUCAUAGCAUAAUGACAUUGAAUAAGCAUUGAAAUUCUUAGUUACAUUGCUAAAAGUGGUUGAAACCUUAUUGAAGCAUAUAAUUUUGUGGUGAUUGAUAAUUAUACUAACCUAAUAAUUAGAUUAAUUUUCAAAGGUAGCCACUUCUAAAUAUCUGCAUUUAUGAGCUUCUUAGGUAUUAUAUAGCUCUAUGUUCAUAUACAAAAAAUCAUCAUCAAUGUCAUGAAUACUAAUUGUUGUAUAAAUUUUAAUAUUUACAAUCAAGGCCUUUUAAUAGAGAAAGUGUGGUUCCAUGGGAAAUACAAGAAGCUUAGAUAUUGAGCAAUCUUAUCUAAUGCGGUAUUAUUUACGCAUUGGGGAGAUUUUGGAUACAAGGUUAAAGUUUCGAUAGGAUGGAAGGUAUCUUAGCUAUCCUAUCCUAUUUUUGUGAGAAAAUAGAAUUAAGAUGGGGUCGGAACUCUGAAAUCCAUCCAUAUAGAGAGAGAAGAAGAAAAAAGAAAGAAAGAAGGAAGAAAAGAUAAAGAAAAAAAAAGCGAAGGAAAAGAAGAAGAGAAAAAAUGAAAGAAAGAAAGGAAUGGAUGAAAGAAGGAAGAAAGGAAAGAGAAAGAAGAAAAAAAGAAAAAAAGAAAGGUAGGGAUAAGGGAAGAAAGAAAAGAAGUAAAGAAAGGAAGGCGAAAAAAAGAGAGGAGUAAAGAAAAAAUAAAGAAAGAAAGGAAUGGGAGAAAGAUGGAGGAUAUUUAUUGAGUCACAUGACCGAAAUUGUCAGGAUAGGAUAGGAUAGCAGAACAUUUCAUUCUAUAGAGAAAUUGAAACGCCUCCAUCCCAUGAGAUUUAAAACCUUAGUUGGAUAUUUAGCUUUUGUGGAUGAGAUCCUAGAUCAUAAUAGUACUACUACUAUUAUCCUAUAAAUAUUUGUUGUCUGUUACUAUUAGCCUUUUAGCUAUAGUAUAUGUGCUAAUGUACAUGGCUGUCAAAAAAAUUAUACAUAAGAUGGAUGGACUUUAAAAAGUUUUUAAGAAGAUUAGAUGCUAAACAUAUCUCACAAGGUUAUCAAAAUUUUAUUUACUAUAUCAUGUUCUUAAUCUUUAUCACAUCUUACAAGGUUAGCUUUAUGGAUCUUUCUUCAAUAUUAUCAAUAAUUAAAAUCUUUAAAGGUAUUGAGUUUGUGGACUUAUAUCUCAUGAAAUCUUAGGAGGAUAUAUGAGUUCUUAAUUAUCCACAUGAAUUACUUGAAUGACUAAUUUUUGUUCUCAAAACAUUACCCAAACUGACUACUAGUUAUCCAAGUAUGCUUAUAAAUCACAGUGAUAAAAUUAUACUAUGAUAGUUGUUCAAAAUAAGCAGAAACUAGCCAAAACAUGAAAUUAAUUUUAUUAAUAGACUGAUCUUGGCCAAAAAAAUCUAAUUUGUUUCAAGUAAAAUAGAUUAGUUUUGAGCAAAAUAGGAAGCUUUGAUGCAUUCAUGAAUGCAUAUGGUAUGUUAAACACAAUUAUAUGCAUUUACAUUUGUAAUUUUGUUUGCACAUGCUUGUACAUGUGUGGCAUUUUUACAAGAAUUUCUUGUAAAUUUUCUAUACAAAUGGUGCUUAAUUGGUAGUAAUAAAGUAAGAUACAUCAGAUUGGAUCAUAAGGAAAAUUGUGGUGUGCUUAAAAAAAUAAAAAAAUUACUAUUAUAUAAUUAAAUAUAAAGGAUUUUGAAUUUGGACCCUAUAUUUUAGUUAGAUGUAUUAUGUUAUUUCUGUUCACCAUGUUUAUUUUGACAUAUUAUAAAAUGUAUAUUCGCUAUGAUAGAAGAAAAUUUGUUAGUGUUAUUGAAACAACAAAAAUGAAGAAUGAUUUUAUGGCUAUCAUAUGCAUGCCUAAACAACUAACUGGGCUAUGUUCUAUUGUCAAUGUCUCACUAAAGCUAUUUGACAACUUUGAAGAAGAGUCUAUCAUAAUAUAAGAAUUGAGUUACCACUAAUUUUCUUCUUCUAUUGACCAUGGUAUUAGAUAUUCUUGCUUUAAUUGCUUUUUGAUUUUAUAGAAAAUAUGUGCGAACACAAUCUAGGGUUUAGUAUCUUAUUUUGAAAAUGACUUGGGUAAGGUAUUAUGAUUUAUCAAGGAAUUCUUUUUGUUGCAUUUGAGAGCUUCCCCAUUACACUAAAAAAGAAUCCAGACUUUUCAGCUUCUUUAUUUUUCAAUUCUAGUAUAUUUUUGGCUUUUCUCCCUUACAAAAAUAAAUUCUAGGUGCUUCCACUAUUUCUCAAUUCAUUUUGUCUUUGUGCAUCAAUUUGAGAUGAUUUCUUGGCCAUGGACUUUUAGUAGAAAACCAAACAAUGUCAAAUAUCUGGUUUAUCUUUGAAGAUCUGAAUCAUAUCAUAUAUAACACUUAAAAAUUUGAUCUUCUAAGGCAUGUGUAACUGCCAGUAGUCCUAAAUUACAAUGGAUGCUUGGAGAUUGCAAAUUCUAUAAUUGUAGAACUAUUGCAUUUAUAUUGUAAAUAUUUGCUCACUAGAGUUUGGGAUUUAUGUAGGGACUUGCCCAACCAAAGGCUUCUCCCAUCUUUUUAUUUUUCAAAUUAUUCUGACAUGGCUAACAUAUAUUUAAUAUAUCAUAGAACUUAGUUUGGUUCUUGAUAGAUAGUAAAACCAUCCUUCAGAUAAAAUCUUUCAUCAAUUUUAUGAGCAUAGACUUGGUCUAAUAUUGCUAUCAUAGCCAAGUUGCUGUAUCAUAUAUCAAUUUAUCAUUAUUGUUCAUAGAUAUUUUAGAACAACUAAUUCAAUAUUUCGAUGUACUUUGAGCAUAAUUAAAAAUAAGAAUUGGCAGAUAAUACCCAUUGAAUAUAGGUGCCCUUUGUAAGAUAGAUUUUGUCCAGUGUGUCCUGGAGUUUUUUGUUUGAUCUCCUAUAUAUCCCAUUGAAGCUUUGAUAGAAAAUGGAUAGCAUGGAUCAAGGUACUACUUCAAUCAUCUAAUUCAGCAUUGGUUAUCAAUAAUUCUUUGGGAAAGUGGUGCCGUAACAAGAAGGGUCUAAAGCAAGUUAAUCCUCUCUCUCCCCUAUUAUUCAUUCUAGUAACCGAUUUCCUCACAAAAAUUAUGAAGAAAGCCAAUUCAGAAAAGCUGAUCUAUGGAAUUGGUCCACAUGGCUUAGAGCGGCUCACGCAGUGUCUACAAGUUGCUGAUGACACUCUGGUCUUUUGUAAAGUAGAUAAAUCAAACAUCAACUCACUCAAGUAAAUCUUGUAAAGUUUUGAAUUAGAAAUAGGUUUAAGCAUAAACUUUCAAAAAACUCAACUCAUCGGCUUGGGAAUCGAUGAGUAUUUAACUUUUAACCUUCGCUCAAUGCUCGGUUGUAAGGUAGCUAAGCUAUCCACUUGCUACUUGGGUAUUCCUCUUCAUCAUUCAAAGUUGAACAAAAAAAAUUGGUCCUUUCUCCUUGAUAAAAUAUCAAAGAAGCUGAGUGGAUGGAAAUGGAAGAUAUUGAUUCUUGCUGGUCAAAUUACGUUAACAAAUUUGGUACUUAGAGCCAUUCCCAUCUACUAGGAUGUUAGUGUUGAAGCUUCCUCCGGUGGUUAUUUGAAAAAUCAACCAUUUAUGCCGACAAUUUAUAUGGGAUAGCCAACAAUCUCAAAGCAACAUUAAACAUCUACUGGACUGGAAUCAAAUCUGCAGACCAAGAAGGCAUGGAGGAUUAGGAGUUUUAAGAAUCUCAUUACUCUCAAUCAGGCCUUCCUGCUCAAAUGGUGGUGGAGAUACUUUAACAAUCAGCAAAAGCCAUAGUGUCUGCUACUAAAAGCCAUUUAUCAUGCGAGAAGGUUGCCUAUGAAACUAUUGAGGUGCUUACUAAGAAUCACCUCACCUAUCUAAAGAAAUAUAUAUUAAACUUGUUUGAUCUGUUCAAACAGUAUUUUCACCCGAAGGUAGGCCAUGGGUGUCAAAUCCACUUUUGGCAUGAUAACUAGCUUGGGGAGAGCGAAUUAAAACUCUUCUUGCCUAAUCUAUUCUACUUUGCUAGAAACCAAAAUAGCUUGGUGAGAGAGUUCCUCCUUCAGAGCAAUUUCAAAAUGAAAUUCAGAUACCCACUAAGCCCGCAAGCAAUGAGGGAGCUCCAGAACCUUACAUUACUUCUCCGGUCUUCAUCUUUGUCCUCUGAUCCCAACAAAUGUAAUUGGAAGUAGAAUGCAAAUGGCAUAUAUCAAGUAAGACACUAUGAUAACUUUUUCAUGUACGGUAGAGUGAUCUCUCGCAUUGGUGAAUUCAUAUGCAAGCUUUCUAUCCUAGAGAAGGCUAAACUUCUCUUCUGAUUUUGUUAUCAUGACAAAAUUUUGACGGUAGAAAAAUUUAUCAGGAGAAAUAUCAACAUCAUAGGAAGAUACCCACUAUACGAUGAAAAUGAGGAAUCGUUGAACCACCUUCUGAUAUAGUGUGAUUAUUCCAAAGCCUUCUGGUCCACCAUUCUAUCAAAAUUUAAUGUUCCAGAACUACCAACCUCUGUCAUAGGAGUUUGGGAUUUUUUGGAGGCAUUUACAACAUAUGAACAAUAAUCGGUUUCCAGCUUUCCAAUGUUUAAUCGCUACUGGUGUGUGGUGUCUAUAGAAAAAAUGCAACCUCCAGAUUUUUCAUUUCUGAGCCACCAUGCCUCCUGCGGCGGUAAGGAAAGCAGUCAACUUGCCCAUUUCAGAGCUGGACUUCUAUCGUCUCUCAUCCAAAUGUUUGGCACCUGGUCAGUCAACUUGCCCAUUUAUCUAACACCAUUGGCAACCAGAGAAGUCUGUUGGGUUAAACUCUUCAAUGCUUGGUGAGCUUUAAGCAAAAGAGCCCUGCGUAAGAUAUCGUGCAUGGGGCGCAUCCUAGAGGCCGUCCUUCUACCCAAGGUGUUUCCAAAGUCUCAGUAUGUCACUUGUGGCCCUUUCAAUUUUUUGCUCCUUUUUGUUUGAUAAGACACUCCCAUGCAUUAUUUAGUUCUCUUGUUCAGAAUAGACGGGAAACAGAAUCUAGUCAGGCUAUUAUGUACUUUAUGUAAACCUCUCUUAAUAAUAUAAUAUUACUCGGGGGAAGUUCCUUAUUUUCACUUGGAUUCUCAAAACAAAGAAAAAAGAAUAUAGGUUUUCAUGUUAAUCUAGCAAAAGUAAGUUUAAUCCCUGCAAAUUUUUCCUUUCAAGGUAUUUGAUAUACAUGGUUACUGUCAUUCUACUGAGAAACACAUUAACCUAGUCUAGGUGCGAAAAUGCCAAGUUUGGAUCCAGGAAGAAAUGGAAAGAUGAUAUAUGAUGAUCAAUAAACAAAAUAGGGGGAAAGGAUAAUGAGGUGUGAUCCCUAUUUAUAAAACUACUGACAAAAUGCCGUCUUCAGAUGCCAAUUGACUGACGGUUCAUGUUUAGAAAGAAUUUUUAAGCAAGUAAAUCAAUUCAUGAUAAUAGAUAGAAAGUACAAACCAAAAGGAACGUAGUAAACAUUCAGAAAAAAUUAAUGAAAAACAAUAUCGAGACUGGUGAGGAGGUAGAGGGCUACAUAACCAAGGCAUGGGCUGAUGCUUACCACCUCAGAACCAUCCUAUGUAGAUACAAAGCCUAAACUUGAUCAUGCGGCUAGCAAGCCAUGUGCAUAUGGGGCCACAUAUGUGGCCAUCCAAGAAACAUAGAUGCUAAAUAUUACAUGCUUUAUUUGUAUCUGAUAAAAAUAGUUAUUGGAUGCUAUUGAGAAUUUUUUAAAAUCUCUCAUCUAAUUAUAAGAUAUUUGUAUAGUUUUCUAUUCUUUCUCUUUUUCUAAUGGUAGGAUAUUUGUAUAGUUUCCUAUUCUUCCUUUUUUCCUUAUUUCACUGUAAUCAUAUUUAAUUAUUCUUUAUUUGAUGAGAUUUGAUCUUAUCUCUUAUUUCAUAGGAUUUACACGAGAUUUGAUCUCUUAAGAAGAUCAUUCUUUUGUAUAUUUAUAUGGGAUUGAUUACCCACUAAAAAUAAGAAGUAAAUUACAUCUUUUCUCGUGGUAUCAGAGCUCUUUCCAUAGGGCCUGUUUUUCUGCUGCUACUUUUUCUAUUUGUCUUUAUCACGAAAGUUCACAGUCUUCAUUGCUAUUGGUCCCAUUAUCGUCGAUCUUGUUUGUCUUCAUCGCAGACAUCUUCAGUGUCGACUCCGUUUGCUUUGAUCGCAGAUAUCUUCAUCAUUCUCUGCCUUCAUCGCAGAAGUCAUCGUUGUUCGCAGCUUUUCUCUGUAGGCCAAAUCUAACUGCACUCCCAUUGUCAGUCAGUCUCUUUAUUGUUGCUGUUAUUUGAUUCCUUCUCUUAGUCAACAUGUCUAUAAGGCCAUGGCGUUCAGCCCUUUCGAAUCCAUUUUUAGGACAACUUAACCCACUUUAAAUGGUGAACUGCAGGUCAUGAACUCUUCCUAUCAUCUUGAUGGGAAGAAUUAUUUUCAAUGGUCAUAGUUGGUGAAAACUUUUCCCAAGGAUCUAUACCUGAAAAAUCUAAAAAAGCUGAAUUUCGAAAAUUCAACAAAGAAGAAGUUGAGAAAUUAUAAGAUUUUCUUAACUCUCUGUCUACUUCCUGUGGUUCAUAUUCAUUGGCUCAAUCUAGUAAGUGCCUUGUUUCUAAUUCUCUUAAUAUCGAUACAUUGUCUCAUUUCUCCUCCUAAGGACCUGACUCAGGAGCAACAGAUCAUAUAAGCCAUAGCCCAUCUGGAUUUGAGUCCUACAAAUUAUGCUUAGGAAAUCAAAUAAUUAUCGUGGCUAAUGGUUUCCCUAUUAUCAGAGCCGGCCAAGGCCAAAUUUCCUUAGUCCCUUCCUUUCAUUUAAAAAAUAUGUUACAUGUUACAAAAUUAUCCAUUAAUCUAAUCUCCAUUCAUCAGCUCAUCAAAAAUUUAAAUUGUUGUAUCACAUUUUUUGAUACCCAUUGCAUCUUUCAGGACAAAGUCAUAAAGCAGACGAUUAGAUCUGCUAAAGAACGGAAUGGCCUUUACUACCUUGAUGCUGCCAGUAGUUCAUCCACUCCUACAAACCAGUUCACUCUCUCCCACACAUCGUCCAAUUCUACUCAUCCUUUCUCUUCCAAUGAAUCUGAAAUUUGAAUCCAACAUCUUUGUCUUGGCCAUUCAUCUUUCCUUUUGCAAAAAAAUAUGUUUCUUUUAUUGUUCAAUAAUGUUGAUGUUCAAAGCCUUCAUUGCAAGACUUGUAAAUUUGGUAAACAUCAUCAUGUAUCAUUCCCUUUGAGUUUUAAUAAAUCUUCUAAACCUUUUCUCUCAUACAUAUAGAUAUUUAGGAUUCAUCUAGAAUUUCUACUUAUACUGGGGCAAAGUGGUUUGCAUCAUUCAUUGAUGACUAUACUAAGACCACGUGGAUAUAUCUUAUGAAGAAAAAAUCUGAGGUCAGCCAUAUAAUUCCAUCUUUCCACUAAAUGAUAUUGACUCAAUUCAGGGUAUCCAUACAAAAGAUUCAUUCUGAUAAUGCUCGAGAUUAUUUUAAUUUCACUCUUGCUUCUUUCAUAAAAAAAGAAUCAUUCAUGAAUCCUCUUGUGUUGACACGCCCCAACAAAAAGGGAUAGCAGAGAAAAAAAAUCGAUAUCUUCUAAAUAUCACUUGUGCCCCUCUUUUUUAUUCUAAUGCCUCAGAAUUUUUUUGGAGAGAUGCUGUCCUUACAGCAACUUUUCUGAUUAAUAGAGUCUCUUCACGUAUCUUUGGUAAUCAAUCUCCUAUUCACCUAUUGUCUACCUUUCACUUUGAGCUUCAUUAUCUGAGUAAUCUUCCUCUUCGCGUCUUUGGGUGUGUCUCAUAUAUCCAUGUUCAUAAACAACAUCGGGAAAAGCUUGAUCCUAGAGCUCUAAAUUUUAUUUUCGUGGGCUAUUCCAAUACACAAAAAGGGUAUAAGUAUUAUCAUCCUUCUACUCAAAAAAUGUUUAUCUCCAUGGAUGUCACCUUUAAUGAGAACCAAUUUUAUUUUUCCAAACCCCAUUCCCCUCUUCAGGGGGAGAAGCCUAAGGAUAGUUUGGAAUGGGUUGUCCUUGAUAAUCUUUGGAGUCUACAACUGAUACCUCUUCCACUUGAACUAUCCUCAUAUAAGAUGCCUCCUCCAUAUGAACCAUCCUCAUAUGAGCCAGAACAAGACACUAAAAAUCAGCAACAAAAGCAGCCUGAAUUACUGCAGUAUUCAUAGAGAAAAAAGAUGAUUUUCGAACCAAUGCAGACCCAAGACUCUAAUCAGGAUGAACAAGAGCCAGAUAAAUCAGUUUUUCUCACUGAUUCUAUUCUUAAUGAAUCUAUUCCUGAAGAGCCUAUUUCUCAAAAUCUCUAAAUCCUAAUUACCUUAAGAAAGGCCAUCAGAAAGUGCACUCAACAUCCAAUCUAUCCAAUUUCACUGUUUGUCUCCCUUCAUCAUCUUUCUUCAUAACAUAAAAGUUUUCUUACUACCCUAGACUCAAUUGAUAUCUCUAAAAUCAUACAAGAGAUAUUAAAGAACAAAAAUUGGAUACAAGCCAUGAAAGAGGAAAUGACUGCACUAGAGAAGAAUAAGACAUGGGAGGUUGUGACUGGGCCAAAAGGGAAACAACCAGUUAGAUGCAAAUGGGUUUACACUUUAAAAUACAAAGUAAAUAGAUCUCUUAAGAGGUACAAAGCAAGAUUAGUUACAAAGGGGUAUCCACAAAUCUAUGGGGUAGACUAUCAUGCACCAGUAGCAAAGAUGAAUACCGUAAGAAUUUUAUUAUCUCUUGCUGCUAUGUUUGAUUGAGAUUUGCAGCAAUUUGAUGUCAGGAAUGUAUUUCUAUAUAGAGAUUUAGAAGAAUAGGUCUUUAUGGAGCCACCAUCCAGAUUUGAUGGAGAUUUUGGGGUUGAUAAAAUUUGUAGUUUGAAAAAGACUUUGUACGGCCUAAAACAAUCUCCUAGAGCAUGAUUUGGGAGGUUUACAAAGGCAAUGCUGAGAAUGAGAUACAAACAAAGCCAGAGAGACUACAUAUUAUUUAUAAAAUACUCAGAUAAAGAUGAAGUUACAGUCUUACUAGUGUAUAUGGAUGAUAUUAUUAUGAUAGAAAAUGAUGCAUCUAAAAGAGAAUCUCUUAGAAAAAGAUUGGCUCAAGAAUUUGAGAUCAAAGAACUCAAAAAAUUGAAAUACUUUCUAGAUAUUGAAGUGGCUUACUCAAAAAAAGUUAUAUUUGUCUCUCAAUGAAAAUAUGUACCAGACUUUCUUAAAGAAAUCAGAAAUUUUUGCAGCAAAGCAACAAGUAUGCCUAUUGAUUAUAAUCAUAGGAUAGAAAAAACUGAAGAGGAUAGCUCAAUUGAUAAAGGAAGAUAUCAGAGACUUGUAAGAAAAUUAAUUUAUCUUUCACAUACAAGAUCAGUCAUUGCCUACUCUAUGAGUGUAGUCAAUCAGUUUAUGCAUGACCCAAAAGAAGAACACUUGUAAGCAAUUUACAGAAUCCUGCACUAUCUUAAAGCUACACCAGGUAAGAAAAUCUUGUUUCAGAAAAGGAGUCCUAUACUGAUGUUGAUUAUGCUGGAUCACAAGUUGACAGAAGAUCAACAUCUGGACACUGCACAUUUCUAAAAAGUAAUCUGAUGACUUGGAGGAGUACAAAAUAGAAUGUGGUAACAAAGUCUAGUGUUGAGGCUAAGUUCAGAGCCAUGGCUCCAGAGAUUUAUGAACUACUGUGGGUAAAAAUAAUCCUAGAUAACUUAAAGAUCAAGAGAGAAGGAAUGAUAAAGCUAUAUUGUGAUAACAAAUCUGUCAUUAAUAUUGCUUAUAAUCCGAUUCAGCAUGAUCGGACCAAGCACAUUGAGAUAGACAAAUACUUCAUAAAGGAGAAGUUGGACAAUGGGUUGAUUAGUAUCCCAUAUAUGCCAUCAGAGAAUCAGUUAGCUGAUGUUCUAACCAAGGGUCUACCUACAAUGAGAUUUCAAGAAAUUAUUAGCAAGCUGGGAAUGAAAGAUAUUCACUCACCAGCUUGAGGAAGACUGUUGAAAAUUUUCUAAAAUCUCUCAUCUAAUUGUAGGAUAUUUAUAUAGUUUCCUAUUCUUUCUCUCUUUAUAAUGGUAGGAUAUUUGUAUAGUUUCCUAUUCUUCUUCCCUUUCCUUAUUUCUUGUAACUAUAUUUAAUUAUCUCUUAUUUGAUGGGAUUUGAUCUUAUCUCUUAUUUCAUGGGAUUUACACAGGAUUUGAUCUCUUAAGAAGAUCAUCCUUUUGUAUAUUUAUAUGGGAUUGAUUAUCUACUGAAAAUGAGAAGUAAAUUAUAUCUUUUCUCAAAUACUCUUAUCAUAUGUGUUUGAUACUUAUGUUAAAUAUCCUAUUUUUUAAAAUUAAGAAAGCCUUCUAAAUACUUUCGGAUACGCUCAAGUUACUUCUUUGAUAUCUCCAAGAAUGAAAUCAAGGGAUUUUUCUUUCUUUUUCUUUCAAGGAUGAAUGCUAACCAUUUAAUGAUAAAUAAUUAAUUUUUGAGUUAAUAAUGUUAAUACUGUCAAAUGGGGUAGGAAUUAGGUCUAUGAAUUUGAAUGAUAAAAAAAUGAUGAGUUUGUAAAAGUUCAUAGAUGCUUUUUUGUAUAUCCACAUCAUAUGCAUAUGUAUUUGUAAAAUUCAUAUAUAUUUGUUCCAUAUCCUAGUUGUAUCAUAUUGUUGGGGGGUAAUACGUCCACUAUGAGCUAAUGAAAGUGGAUACCUUGGACCCUAUCUGAUAUGAUAUACCCUGAGCACUAUUUGAACUCUAUUGAUGACCGACCUGGAAGCUUACCGACUAGGCGUUCCUUUGAGAGGAAAGGAC